GUUACGUUUAGUUAGGCUAAGUUUUCUCAUACAUAAAUCUCGUAUUUUAUUUCUACAAAUGUAUGUUUGUCUUCCUCCACAGAUGCUGGAGGGAAUAUAUCACCGCAUCUUUUCUUUCCUCCCUCACGGUGAAGGAAGAACUGCAGCACAGGAAGGUGGGCGAGUGGAGGCUACAGUGCUUGAAUUACACCAGUGUGACCAUUAAAGAGGUAAUGCUCUUUUAAAAUCCCAGUUUUGCUCUCCUUUUGUAAUCCUUGUCCAGUGUUCUUUUGUAACCAUCGUUGGCAUCACGUGACCUUCAUGUCA